CUACUUAUGGUUGCGUGAGAAUAUGAGCGGAAAUCUAGAUGCCCUGCCCGCUAAAGUUCCGCUCAAGGAAAGCGAAGCUUUCCGGAAAAGUCAGUUGGAAAAAUGGCAAGCCUCCGACACUGCAAGCAUUGACCCUUCGCAGAAGAAUAAGAACUGGGCUGUUAAAUUUCCUUUAAAGUUACUGUUUCUUUCCGCUUGCGAAGGCGGAGACGUCGAUUAUGCAAGAGAACUCUUGGAGAUGGGUGUUGACAUUAAUGCCAAAAACUGCGAUGGUCUUGCUGCUUUGCAUCAGGCAACAGUCAAUACCGAUGAAGACAUGAUGCACUUUCUCAUCGACAAUGGAGCAGACCUCGAUAUCUUCGAUAACGAGGGAUGGACACCUCUACAUGCUGCCGCAUCUGUGGGAUCUUUACCAUUUGUUGAGUUGUUGAUUGAAAAAGGGGCCAAUCCUGUAGCUGUCAAUCAUGACGGAGAUACUCCUUAUGACUUGGUCAAAUCUGAUGGAGAUGAAGGAGUUAGAGAGUUUUUACUCCAAAUAAUUGAAGAUGAGGGAAUCAAUCUCCAAGAAUGGAAGCAGGCAGAGGAGAACCAAAUGAGAGAAGAUGCAGCCAAGUGGCUCAAAGAGAGGAGCAGGGCGUCUGUGAACCAGGCGCACCCAGAGACAGGCGCAUCUCCCUUACACGUGGCAGCAUCUAAGAACUUCACUGAUGUCAUGAAACUACUGUUGCGAGCGGGAGCAGAUCCAGAUGCAACUGACAAUGAUCUGUGGACUCCUCUACACGCAGCCGCUCAUUGGAGUUUGUCAGAUGCAGCCAAAGUGUUGGCCGAGUAUGGCGCCAAUUUCUCCCUGGAAAAUAAAAAUGGUCACACUGCAAAAGAUCUGGCCGAAAGUGACAUGCUGGCGAUAUUGCAACAGCUGGAAGAACAACAACAAGACCUGAUAGAAGCAAGGAAGUGCAAUGCUGUUGAUGAGAUUGAAGAUAGUCUGAGUCGACCUAUCAACCCAACCCUUCCUGUUCGAAGAAGCUCGGUUUGUCGAAGUAGCAUCGUCGACAAGGAGAGUUCUUUCAAGCUCAAGGACAAAGAGUUAGAGAAGAUCGAAAUCAGGAAACAGGCUUCGGAACCCCUGCCCUCGAUUCCUGCUACUCCGGCUACACCUCCAGAAGAUGACCUUGGGUUCCAUAUUGUAUCUACUGGAGGUAAAAGUGCAAGCGAAGGAAGUUCAGAAGCAGUGAAACAAGAGAUGGUCAAAGAUGCAGAAGUGGCAGCGGGAUCCUCGACUAGAGAAGCGACAACCAACAAAGUGGAAGAAAGUACUGCUGCAGGAGACAAUGACGAUACCGGCAGCAUGAUUAGCUCAAUCGCAUCCUCAAUUAGGGAGCCCGAACCAUCGCGUAAACUCCCGGCAGAUGACAAAGAAAACCUUUCAAAUGCAGACGAAACAAAACGAGAGGAAACCAAAAGUGGGGCAUUUGACGAGAUCGUAAAAGAGUUAGAACAGUCGGGCCGAAGUGAAAGUGAGUCAUCAAUUAGAUCAGCUACGUCAUCGAAAUCCUCAGUUGCAUCGUCAGCAGAACCAGAAUCGAAGUCGUCGGCUGAAAAGGUUAAACGAAGAGUCGACAAGAUUGAUGUCGUGCCUAUGAAGGGAUCUUCCGUGCAGUUCCAGAUGCCGUUCAAUCGUGCAGUGCAAUCUGAAGAACCGGUGCCUCGGCUGCAGCCUAAAGUGACAGUGUCACGCAAACCAAAGGAAGUCAAGACUGAAACACAAGAAGCAGUCAUCACGAGGCCCGACUUCUCUAAAAUCGACUCGACUCCUGACGUCAUUAAACAGAUAGACGAGAAGCCUAAGAAGCCACCGUUUACUGAUUUUAAUUUACUUAGCCAAGAAAGCGUGUCAUCAGCCGACUCAAAAUCGACAAGUGAAAAUGAAGAAAACCGAAACAAAGUUGAUAAUCAAGCUUCGAACUCAGGGGAACCCAAUAUCGCAGCACCUGGCGACUCAUUGAUUACAGGUGGUGUAAAGCGAACAGCGUCUUGGAGGGUUAAAAAGGGCGCGUCUAGUAAAGAUAAAACUGAAAAUAAUGAUGCUGGGUUGACAAUUGCAGUGAAGGGCAAUGAUGGAAAAUCAGAGGAAGAAAGUGCCAAUCAGAACUUGCCAUCAGUAGGAGAUUCACAAACGACUCCUCCGAUCAGACCAGCGGAAGACUUGGAAAGCGAGCAGCUGACACCCAAAAGUCCCGAAAGCAGUGCAAUUUUGCUGCCGAAGAAUGAGGAGAAAGAGAUCACUCGUAAGCAGCGAGCUCGGUUCGAAAGGAACACCCGCAGAUCUACUCAGGGAAUAUCUGCCGCUGAUCUGGAAAGUGCCUUAGCAAGUCCACAUCAUCACCCCAUCAGGGAAGACAAAAAGGAGGAACGAGAGCGCAUCGAGAGCAAAUUCUUGACGUCAUCUCCAGCGCUGACUUCUCCUACUCCUCAAGGAAUGCAGUCAUCACAAGAAAGCAGUAAUAGCCAGAGCCAGCAGGACCAGAAGCAGCAAUCAGGACCUCUAGAGGUAGGGUUCCAGCGCUCAUCUCGCUACGCUAGGCUCACUUCUCGUGAUGUGAAUGACGCUAUCGCGCGCAAUGUGGCCCAACCACAGGUGGUUCCUGCCCAGAGCCGAACCUCCUACGCCAAUAGUUCACAGAUUCAAGGGGGAAUAAAUGUCCCACUAAAUUAUAUAACUCAAACUUCUAUUUCUUCAGCACAGGCAGCUCCUGUGAACUUAAACUCUUCUUCUUCUAAUUUCUAUAAUUAUACUAACUCUUCAACUAACGCACCACUUACAUCUACUAAUCCGACUACAUACACCGUAUCUCAAAGUCAACAAGUGCAGAAGAUCGCAGCUAGAGGUAACGACAAUUCACCGACCCUGGUAUCACUGAAACCAACCGAAACUGAGUACAAGUCAGCGUUCACACCAACUCACGUCUCGGACAACUACAAAAACUAUGCGGCUGUAAAUAUAGGGUCCACUGGCAAUAAAGCAAAUAAUGCCGGAAAUCGAACUUCUUCUGACUAUGCAAAUGUUCAGUUACCUCUGACAAGUUCCUCGCAGUACCAAUCGUCCAAAGAUUCAAGUGGCUAUCCAUACCAGGACAGCGGCGCUCGUGAUUCAUCAAUCAAAUCUGCAGUUGCAAUGCCGAAGCCUUAUAAGCCAAUGGUGUUCACCCAAGCAAAGUCGUCGACGCCGCCAGUAGGUCAACGAAAGAAACAGAUGGAGUAUGUUUCAGUGGCGGUUCCGUUCAUUGCUAGCCAACCUAAAAGUUCAGGAGGUUAUUCUUCCUCGUCUGGUGGAUCUCAGUACCACGGGGGCUACUCGUCAUCGAAUAAUAGAAGCGAAACCCCGAAGUCAGUCAAAGGAACUUCUAACAUAGAUUAUGUGUCAAAAGUUAUUCCGACCGAAAGUAAGUCGGACUAUUAUGAGAUGCGAUCGAUCCCAUUUGACUCAAGCGGUCCGAAAAGAAAAUCAAGUUACAACGAACCAGUAAAAGCAUCUUCGGAAAGAGCACCUGCAUUACCUCCGAGGAGCUACACUACCAGCGCGGGCGGAGACUAUUCGCAAAGACGGGAUGCAGGAAUGCACUACCACCAUCCGUCUGCAACACCUCCAAUUCCUCUGAGAUCAGGAUACGUUAGAUACACUCCCACAGUUUCAUCUCUUAGUGAGAAGCCAGGAUAUAGUCUACCCUCUGAACCCUAUCAUAAAAGCUACAGCGAUCGAUCUUUAGACGCGUACUUCAAAGAAGGAUCAGCUCGUUAUAAGUUCUCGCCUCCGUCGAUUGAAAACUCGUUUCAGCCUAUGUAUCAAUCAGGAAGCAGUGGAAAUGCAAUGAAUACCUCGGGAAGUGGAAGUCAUCUGUAUCAGUUCACUCACCCCGUUGUAAUGUCGGGAUCCAGACCUUUGACCGGAGGUGCCUCCGGAUACCGAUCUCCUCCGACGGAUACUAAGAAUCUUGGGCGAACAUCUAGUCUGAGAGAUAGACCCGCCACUUCGAAACAUCACUCCACAUACACCAAGUACUAAAAAUAUUAAUAGUCCUUAGACUAGAACCAAAAAAUUUUGUUUGUAUUCGUUAUAGUAAGUUACAACUGAAAUUUGCUUUAAUCGACUUAUUUUCAUUUGAUUGGCUGCGGUUUUUGUUGUCGAAAGAAGAGAAGAACAUAACGCGCUCAUAAAUCUGCUUAUAGUUGCUGAAAUAUUUCAAAGAUCGUUUGUCGUUUUUGGAGUUUUCUCGGAAAUUUGAAGAAGCAACCACUGUCUUGGAUUUUAAGUGGUGUGACUUGAUUUGACUCUAAUGCAUUUAAUUAACAAAGGGCAUGAUAAUCUUGAAUUUAACUAAUAGAUUAGAUAUUGUACAUGAAUUCUUCUGAUCAGUUGGUUCUUUCUUCGUUGACAGCAUUGACGGACCUCGACAAUACUACAUACAUGAAAUCAAUAAUAAAUAAUGGAUCAAACUUUAUUUGCUACGUUAAUUCAACAGUUUUGAUAGAAACACAUUUUUUCUUCUGAUGUAAGAAUUGAGUGUCUUAGUGCAAAUGUUAAUAAUGGUUUUACCCUUUGUCGUCAACUCUUUGAUGAUGUGUUGUCUGCGGGUGAUUGUAUUUCAAAAUUUGUCGCCUUUUGUUGAAUCUGUGCCAUCAAUAUGUUUAGUUUAGUUUCAGCUAGUUAGUUAAGCAGUUAGUUAUGGAGACGGUAUACUGUGAUAUACAUUGUCUUCCCCAUAUUUGCGAAGCGGUAGUCAUGGCGUGUUUUCUGGAAGCAACGACGCCUGUACGGCCAUUCGGCGGAGUGACCGGAUCAUUCUUCACGCGUAAUUCAUCAUACCUCGAAAACAACAAUAUAG